rnacentral:rRNA from 1 species
GAUGAACGCUGGCGGCGUGCUUAACACAUGCAAGUCGAGCGAGAAAAGUUCUUCGGAGUUUUUCUAGCGGCGGACGGGUGAGUAACACGUGGGCAACCUGCCUCAUAGAGGGGAAUAGCCUUCCGAAAGGAAGAUUAAUACCGCAUAACAUUGUUGAAAGGCAUCUUUUAACAAUCAAAGGAGCAAUCCGCUAUGAGAUGGGCCCGCGGCGCAUUAGCUAGUUGGUGAGGUAACGGCUCACGAAGGCGACGAUGCGUAGCCGACCUGAGAGGGUGAUCGGCCACAUUGGAACUGAGACACGGUCCAGAAUCCUACGGGAGGCAGCAGUGGGGAAUAUUGCACAAUGGGGGAAACCCUGAUGCAGCAACGCCGCGUGAGUGAUGAAGGUCUUCGGAUUGUAAAGCUCUGUCUUUAGGGACGAUAAUGACGGUACCUAAGGAGGAAGCCACGGCUAACUACGUGCCAGCAGCCGCAGUAAAAC